rnacentral:rRNA from 1 species
UAAGGGGGAGCGAUCCUUACUAAACUUUAUCAAACUCCGAAUACUCAACAGUGAUACUUGCCAGACAGACUGUAGGUGCUAAGGUCUACGGUCGAGAGGGAAAGAGCCCAGACCGCCAAUUAAGGUCCCAAAAUUAUGGCUAAGUGGUAAAGGAAGUGAAUUGUCCAAAACAGUCAGGAGGUUGGCUUAGAAGCAGCCAUCCUUUAAAGAAAGCGUAAUAGCUCACUGAUCUAAACAAGACGAUUUGCGCCGAAGAUGUAACGGGGCUAAAGCCAUAUACCGAAGUUGCGGAAUUGCACGUAAGUGUAAUUGGUAGCGGAGCGUUCUGUAAGCCUGCGAAGGUGUUCCGUAAGGAAUGCUGGAGGUAUCAGAAGUGAGAAUGCUGACAUGAGUAGCGAAAAGAAGUGUGAGAGACACUUCCGCUGAAAGUCCAAGGUUUCCUGCGUAAAGCUAAUCUGCGCAGGGUUAGUCGGCCCCUAAGGCGAGGCAGAGAUGCGUAGUCGAUGGGAAUCAGGUUAAUAUUCCUGAACCAACUAGGAAGUGACGGAUUCAGUAAAUUGUAUGUCCUUAUUGGAUUGGAUGUGCAGUGAAUGAGUCCCGGGAAAUAGCCCUAGUAUAGACCGUACCCGAAACCGACACAGGUGGACAGGUAGAGAAUACCAAAGCGCUUGAGUGAACUAUGUUGAAGGAACUAGGCAAAAUACUUGCGUAACUUCGGGAUAAGCAAGCCCCAUUUCUGGGCAACCAGAGGUGGGGGGCACAUACUAGGGGGUAGCGACUGUUUACUAAAAACACAGGGCUCUGCUAAAUUGAAAGAUGAAGUAUAGGGUCUGACGCCUGCCCGGUGCUGGAAGGUUAAGGAGAGAUGUGCAAGCAUUGAACUGAAGCCCCAGUAAACGGCGGCCGUAACUAUAACGGUCCUAAGGUAGCGAAAUUCCUUGUCGGGUAAGUUCCGACCUGCACGAAUGGCGUAACGACUUCCCCGCUGUCUCCAACAUAGACUCAGCGAAAUUGAAUUCUGAGUUAAGAUGCUCAGUACCCGCGGUUAGACGGAAAGACCCCGUGAACCUUUACUAUAGCUUUGCAGUGGUAUUAGGUGACAAAUGUGUAGGAUAGGUGGGAUGCUAUGAAGUUAUGACGCUAGUUGUAAUGGAGCAGACGUUGAAAUACCACCCUUUUGUUAUUUGAUAUCUAACCUGCUUCCGUUAUCCGGAAGAGGGACCCUGCAUGGUGGGUAGUUUGACUGGGGCGGUCGCCUCCCAAAGAGUAACGGAGGCGCGCAAAGGUUGGCUCAGAUUGGUCGGAAAUCAAUCGUUGAGUGCAAUGGCAUAAGCCAGCCUGACUGCGAGAGCGACAGUUCGAGCAGAGACGAAAGUCGGUCAUAGUGAUCCGGUGGUCCCGAGUGGAAGGG